GACACUGGAACUCCUCAUGGAUGUGGCUGCCUGACCUUCAGUUUCUUCAGCAAAAGGCCAAAUAAAUGAUUACUGAGCUGGGAUCUAAGGUCUGGUUCACACACCUGCUGCUAUACUGGAUCGGUCUGAGACUGAGGUUUUGAUGGGACUAACUUGAAAAACAGUAACUUUGAUGUAGUGUUUAAAUUGCCUUACCAUGAACACUGAUGAAAUAGUUUUUUAACUUCAAAGUAUCAAUGUUAUAGGAAACUCCAAACAUCAGGUUUGUUCUGGGACAUAAAUGGUGUUGCUGUGGUAAAGAACUGCGAGUGCCAAAUGCACACCAUGCUCAUAGAGCUGACGGGGUGUGGAAGAACUGCUUUCUGGUGUGUCUGUGAAAAUGCUUGGUUUGAAUAGGGGGAAUCUCUCCUGGUAAGAGGCAGGGCACCUGAAAGGCAAAGUAAAUUUUACAGAGUACUCAUUUUAAUUUCCCAUCACAACAGUAUUGGUAGUCUCAAUGGAAGAACUGCUUGCCACUGGAAUUUCAUAGGACAUGUAAGACCACUGCAAAUAAGCAACAAGCAUUUAGUAGGCCUAGCUUCUGCCCUCUUUUUGUGUUUUGGGAGAAUGAAUUGGAUCCAGUCCCCUAAAUUUUAAGUGCAUUUAAAUGACCUAUAAUUGACAGAUGUUAAUUUUCAGUGUAGCAACUGAGCUUUCGUACCCAACUGGUAAGGAUAGAAGUGUAUUUGUCUUACUGUGGGAGUGUUUUCUUCAGACGAAUGCUGGGCUGUUAAAAACUAAGAGCUGGCACCAUUAACCCAGGCUGGUCCACCAUCAGAGCUGAAGCACUCUCUUUUGAGAUGCAGUCAGGUUUGUUGCAGAUUAGGGACUUGGCUGCAGUGGAGAGAAACUCUUUGUGUGCUCUAGGUCACGGUUAUGCCACCGGGGCAGGUUUGCACCAUAAACACCAGGCUGUGGCUGGCCAGUCCAUAACCAUGAACCCAAGGCAGCUGGCAGUAAUGCUUCAAAGGAAGGAGAUGUCAAGAAAACCAUACCACACUCUUGCUGGUUGUUGUUUUUUUUUCCCAGUACUUUAAUACAGCGUUAAAAUGCUAGAAUACUAGAGAAAAGCUGCUUACUAUCCAGAAAAUAAGGCACAUGACGGAAUGCCAUUUUAUGGACAAGUCACAACAGAGGUUUUACAGCCCCUUGAGCAACACAGUCACCAGAUGAGCAAGCUGUCGUCUCGAUUGCUGAAGCAGAACUGGUACCUCUGAGGCUUUUGUCCAUAAGUUUUGUUUGUUUUAGCUGUACAAGUUCACUAACAGUUACAGAAAAAGAAAUCAUACAAAUUGCCAACUGCAUCUGACAAGGUCAGUAAGUACAGCUAAACACAUGUAAUAAUCAUUAGGGUUUCUUUUAAAAGCUGAAGAAAUUAAUAAGAUACAGUGUUAGUUUUAGCACUAGUGCACAGCACAGUGAGUGCUGUACUAAAUAACCUUUUAAAGGAAACAAGAAUCCAGUACAGGGUUGGACAGAGCUCCCACAUUAGCAUGGUAAAAUAUCCAACUAAAAUCCCAGUCCUUCAUAACAUAAUCAAACUACAUGAAAUGUAAAGUGUAAAAAUGCUUCCAAUACGUGCACAUGCAUAUGCUAUAUUGCUAUGAGUUCUAUUCAAAAUAAGCAUAAAUCCCUACAAUAAUCUA